rnacentral:misc_RNA from 1 species
GGAUUCGGUAUGCUAAGUUUGAGAUGAAGAAUGGUGAAGUUGCGAGGGCUAGGAAUGUGUAUGAAAGGGCGGUUGAGAAAUUGGCUGAUGAUGAGGAGGCGGAGCAGUUGUUUGUGGCUUUUGCUGAGUUUGAGGAGCGGUGCAAGGAGUCAGAGCGUGCUCGGUGUAUUUAUAAGUUUGCAUUGGACCAUAUACCGAAAGGAAGGGCGGAGGAUCUGUAUAGGAAGUUUGUUGCGUUUGAGAAGCAGUAUGGGGACAAGGAAGGAAUUGAAGAUGCAAUAGUGGGAAAGAGAAGGUUUCAGUACGAGGAUGAAGUGAGGAAGAACCCAUUGAAUUAUGAUAUGUGGUUUGAUUAUAUUAGGUUGGAGGAGAGCGUGGGGAAUAAGGAGAGGAUUAGGGAGGUUUAUGAGCGUGCAAUUGCAAAUGUGCCACCAGCCGAGGAAAAGAGAUACUGGCAAAGAUACAUAUACUUAUGGAUAAAUUAUGCUCUCUACGAAGAACUUGAUGCAGAAGAUAUUGAGAGAACACGGGAUGUCUACAGGGAAUGCCUGAACCUAAUUCCUCAUAAGAAGUUUUCAUUUGCAAAGAUAUGGCU